CCAAGUGGCUCUCGCUUCUGGCUCCACUCUGGGGACAGCAUCAGGUGGGGAGUUUGAUUGGGGUGGUACAGCUGUCAAACCAUAAUGCAGGUGUGAUAAGGUGAGCUCAGAAACCUUCCAUGGAGCAGAAGGGCAAAAGUUCGCUUAAUCUUGAUUUUCAGUAUAAAUACAGACCAUGAAAGCAGGGCCUCACAAUCCUUCUGACUUUUUGGGUUUUAAGCAGGAGGUGUCGGAAAAGUUUCCACGGUGAUAACUGGCUUGUGGCGGCCAAGCGUUCAUAGUGAUAUCGUUUUUUGAUUCUUUGAUGUUGGCUCUUCCUAUCAUUGUGAAGCAGAACUCACCAAGUGUUGGAUUGUUCACCCACUAAUAGGGAACGUGAGAUGGGUUUAGACCGUGGUGAGGCAGGUUAGUU
rnacentral:ncRNA from 1 species